UACGAAAUUCAAUCAUUGGGUUAUACUUCUGCAUGAACGCAGUUGUUUGCUGAUAAUUAACUUUAGUUUUUCCACUUGCUUUCUACUAGAUAAUGUUUCUCGUGUGGGUAUGUUUCCUAAAUUACAAAUGAAAACAAGAGCAUUUUGUGCAAUAUGUAUGUCUUUUUUAGUCAAAAUUGUUCUAACUUAAGCUGGUUUCUGACCUACAUGUAAGUAUUUGAUUGCUACACUACUUUCUAGAAUUUGCAAACUUGAAAUGUAUGCUUUUUCAAUCAAAGUUUUUCUUUUUUUAUUCUUGCACAUAGUAAUUGCUGAAAAGAUUACCUAUAUGAUUACAAUGUUAAUGAAAUGCUUGGAAUGUUUAUUUUGUGUUUUGGGAUUGGUCGGAACGCUGUUUCCGGACACUCGGUGCCAAUAAAAAAAUUGUUUAUUUUGUGAGACUUGAAUAGAUUGACAAGUAAGUUAAACUAAAUGAAAGAUGGUCAAUUAUUGGAGAUGAUGGAGAAGAUCAAGCAUUACAAAUGCUGUGGCAUUUGACAAGUGAUCAGACAUUGGACCUUCACCAUUCUCUUCAUUGCUAGGUCACUAGAACUUUCUUUCUUUUUUUCUUGAUGGGCAAACAAGUUCUUAUUGAUCAAAAGAGUACACAAGAGCGCAAGUAUAUGGGACAUCUACAAGAGCAAUGCGUAAGCGUGCUAGUUUAGUGACACAAGGAAUUCAUGAAAAGUCAUGCCAUGAAAAUCAAUUACAAUCAACCAAUGGAGUAAAGUAUUAAAAAUUAAGUUUCUAAGCUCAUCUAUUGAUUAAUCUUGAUCUUCAAAGCUUCUUUCAUUCCUCAUGCUUCAAAUGAACUACUGUAGGCAUAUUGGGAACAUCGAGAGUUGCCUCGAAUGCCUCUCCAAGAAGUGAGGAGAUCGCUUACCCUUCUUGGCAUCACUCAAGCUAGUCCCAACCGAACAAAAACUUCAUUCCACAAAGUCAUGGCAAUCUCACAUUGAAGUAGUAGAUGGUCAACGGACUAUCCGCUCUUCUUGCAUAUACAACACCAAUCCAUGACUACGAUUCGAUGUUUCCUCAAGUUGUCUAGAGUGAGGAUCUUCCCCAAAGAGGCCGUCCAUAUAAAAAAUGCUUCCUUUAGGGUGCCUGGUUGCUGAACUUUCAUUUCAUUCUAGUUAGAGAUAUGUGAUUUGGAAGUAAUGUAGGUUGGUUAACAAAAAGCUUGUGUCCAAUCAUACAUGGAAACCAAGGAACUAAAAAGUACAAAAGGCUUGAUUUUCUUCUCACUCAACUCUUGAUGAGUAAGACCUGUCUCAGUGAUAUGUCAAUGCUUGCACUCAAUAACACCAUUAUCCUCUAAAGUAUAAGGCCAGGGGAAGUUUUUCAAUGGGGGUUUUUUGUUUCCAGGGAUGAACCAGCGAGCCUUCUAAUCUGGAUACGCCAACCAAAAGACUAUUCCAUAACUGAUUCUUGUUGCCUAAUCAAGUGUGCUUGGCUUGCAGGAAAUGUUUUCUCAUAUUAAAAUGUGGUUGAAAUUUAGAAGUUAAAGUAAGAAAUCUUUCGUAGAGCCAAAAAGGAAAAAAAUGGUCCCUUGUUUUAGGCAAUGGCAGUACCCAACCAACUAUAGUUGGAUGCUAUAUAUAACAGAGAUGUAAUCUUGGCUUGUUUGAUGUAAUGUAUUGCUAUAGUCAUGAUCAACAUACUGUGAAUGGUAUUUUUUUUAGCAUUAAGAAAGACUAGUGUUGAAUUUUUGGUGGCUAGCUUUGAAGCUGGGUAGUGAAUAGAAAAGUCCUGAAAAGAAGUGAGGCAAUUGGUUGAGGUCAAAUAUAGGAUCAUAAUUGCAUAGACAAGUAGAGCAUUGAGAAUGUGUUUAAGAGGAGAAAGGUGAGUUCACAAGUGCAUUUCGUAGUUAAAGGGAUCAGUAUUUUGCUAAUGGCGCAUAAGUUUAAUAUUAUGCCAAAAUUGUUCUGGCAUCCUACCCCUCAUUAAGAUGACAUUUGGAGCUAGCUGGUGUGUGGAAAAAAUCAUGAUUAUAGGUUGGCGUACUUGUUAAAUAUUUGUAGGUUUGCUUUAUAGGUCAUAGUAGAAGUGUUCUUGUUUUUUUAUAAUAAAUGCAGGUGGCUUUGUGAUUUCUUAUGGGCACAAGAAGCAGAAUUUUAGGUGCUUGAAGUGUUGUAUGAUCAUUGCUGCUAUAGAUUGAUGUACAAAACAUAACUACUUUUCUCAUUAGGGGGUGAUCCUUAGCCUAUUAAUUGUUUUCCAGGCCAUAUCUAUGUCGGUGUUAUCAUUAUCAAUAUGUAUCAUGUCAUGCCUCUUGGCAGGACUUGCAUAAAUACUAGAAACUUUGUAACAGGAUGUACCUUGCCUGAGAAAACUGCAUUUUUUGAUGAUCUUAAAGUUUUCUCUUGGAUUAUUCUUUUAAAUUGUAUAUGUCCAACUGAUUGACUAAUUGGAAGCCAUCCUUGAGAGGUACCUCAAAAGGUGCGUGCAUACCCGAAACUUUUAUUUUUUUGCUAGUUACCGUAAACUAGCAUUUUAAAGCAACAUUAUCAAUACCCAGUUCUUGCCCAUUUUUCAAUGGCUUAAUUGGAAAAUAUGGAUAUUUAUUCACGAAGCCUGAGGUUCUAAAAGCUUUUCAUUGAAUCAGUUGUUAAGAGAAGAAGAGUUUUUACUGUCCUUCAUAAAUGAAUUUACUGAAAUAUGAGAGAUUGUUGCUGUUCUAUUGAACACACACACACACGAGAAAUGUUAUAACCACAAAGAGAUCCCACAAAAAUAAACUCACACGUUGACGUAGCUUCAAAUUAUAUGUUAGAUCUACCUUACAAUAAAAGUAGCAUUACAAUCUAGUGUACAACAUCAAGCCAAGUCAGUUUGUCAAUUUACUUUUGUGAGAUCUCUUUGUAGCUGAAACAUCUCUCUCUCUCUCUCUCUCUCUCUCUCUAUAUAUAUAUAUAUAUAUAUAUCAGGUCUUGUUGCUACAACAUCUCUGCUUGCGGAAAUCAUAACAUGUAAUAGGCACUUAUCCCUUCUGCGUUUGUCAAAGUGGGUGGCGAUUUCCUGAAUCUUGGCUUGAAGGUCUAGUUGACAUCAUGCUUAAAAAAAAUCAGUGGAACUAGAACUUUUCAUCCAUUGUUUUGAGAUAAUAUUUUGGGCUCAAGCUUUCAAAAAAUAUAUAUUUUUUGGGCUUGAAGGUUUACUUGAUAUAUUUAAUCUUUCUUGCCGAUAUAUUGUUGAGACUUCUCUCUUGGUAAUAACAAUCUUAACCUAGAAGUAUGGAGGGUGAUUUUUUUUUCAGUGUUUAGUCUGUUGUUUUUUGGAUGUAUAUGUUUGGAUGGUUUUGGAGUGUAAGAGUCUUGGUGAUAAAACUCAUGCCUUAAAGUGAGUGCAUGGUUUAUAAAGAUCACUUUGCAGCAAUUAGUUUUUGAUGUGUAUGGUGUUGGAGAUCUUAUGUAUGAGCAGUUUUUGAUGUAGUUUAUACUGAAUAUCCACUGUGAAUGAUAUAUCUACCACCUUAUAUCCUUUAGCAUUUUCAUCAUCUAUACAAGAUUCUUUGUUAUUAUAGAGGAGGAUAUCCCCUGCCUUCAGGAUUGUUUGAGUUUUGGUAAAUAAUAAUGUGCCUAUUGGGUGCUGCUAGUGUGCAGCCCUGCUUUGACCGCUCGGCGUGUCCACUAGUACAAAUUUCACAUUUUAAUUUUUUCUUUCAUAUUUUUUAACCAUUUUUAAA